ensembl:miRNA mir-4936 ncRNA
UAUACGCUAUCGAGAUAAUAAGCAUUUAUGGCUACAAUGUAUACGCCUCUCAAAAUUACGUUCACAUUGCUUUGUGGCUUUGCUGGUAACUCUUUUGCCUUUCACGCAAC